AGAUUAAGCCAUGCAUGUCUAAGUAUAAGCAAUUAUACAGCGAAACUGCGAAUGGCUCAUUAUAUAAGUUAUCGUUUAUUUGAUAGUACCUUACUACUUGGAUAACCGUGGUAAUUCUAGAGCUAAUACAUGCUAAAAAUCCCGACUUCGGAAGGGAUGUAUUUAUUAGAUUAAAAACCAAUGCCCUCUGGGCUCCUUGGUGAUUCAUAAUAACUUUUCGAAUCGCACGGCCUUGCGCCGGCGAUGGUUCAUUCAAAUUUCUUCCCUAUCAACUUUCGAUGUUUGGGUCUUGGCCAAACAUGGUCGCAACGGGUAACGGAGGGUUAGGGCUCGACCCCGGAGAAGGAGCCUGAGAAACGGCUACUACAUCCAAGGAAGGCAGCAGGCGCGCAAAUUACCCAAUCCCGAUUCGGGGAGGUAGUGACAAUAAAUACUGAUACAGGGCUCUUUUGGGUCUUGUAAUUGGAAUGAGUACAAUUUAAAUCUCUUAACGAGGAACAAUUGGAGGGCAAGUCUGGUGCCAGCAGCCGCGGUAAUUCCAGCUCCAAUAGCGUAUAUUAAAGUUGUUGUGGUUAAAAAGCUCGUAGUUGAACCUUGGGCCUGGCUGGCCGGUCCGCCUCACCGCGUGCACUGGUCCGGCCGGGCCUUUCCCUCUGUGGAACCCCAUGCUCUUCACUGAGUGUGGCGGUGAAACAGGACUUUUACUUUGAAAAAAUUAGAGUGCUCCAGGCAGGCCUAUGCUCGAAUACAUUAGCAUGGAAUAAUAAAAUAGGACGCGUGGUUCUAUUUUGUUGGUUUCUAGGACCGCCGUAAUGAUUAAUAGGGACAGUCGGGGGCAUCAGUAUUCAAUUGUCAGAGGUGAAAUUCUUGGAUUUAUUGAAGACUAACUACUGCGAAAGCAUUUGCCAAGGAUGUUUUCAUUAAUCAGGAACGAAAGUUAGGGGAUCGAAGACGAUCAGAUACCGUCGUAGUCUUAACCAUAAACUAUGC
rnacentral:rRNA from 1 species